GGGAGCGGAUGGGUGCCUGGUGGCCCCCGCGGACUUCAAAUCCGUUGCGGCGGCGCGAGAGCGUCGCUGGGUGGGUUCAAUUCCCACACGUUCCCGCCA
rnacentral:tRNA from 1 species